UACGUAGGUGGCAAGCGUUGUCCGGAUUUACUGGGCGUAAAGGGCGUGCAGGCGGUUUGUUAAGUGCAGGGUGAAAGCUCCCGGCUCAACUGGGAGAGGUCCUUGCAUACUGGCGAACUCGAGGGAGGCAGAGGAAAGUGGAAUUCCCGGUGUAGUGGUGAUAUGCGUAGAUAUCGGGAGGAACACCUGUGGCGAAAGCGGCUCACUGGACCACAACUGACGCUGAGGCGCGAAAGCUAGGGGAGCAAACAGG
rnacentral:rRNA from 1 species